rnacentral:lncRNA from 1 species
CCUCAGGCCAAAAAUGUUUAAUCAGGCUCCAGCCUUAUCUUUCAAGUAACAGGAAAUACGGUAAUAAAGGAAAGAGUAAAUGACACCAGGAGGGAACGCAUAGGGGACAUUCUACAAGAAACUCCUGAAUUGUGCGAAAAGAUCAAUGUAAUGAAAAAAAGACUGUUUUAGAUUAAAAGAGACUAAAGAGACACAAAAGCCAGGUGCAAAAUGUGAGUGUUGAUCGGAUUCUGUUGAAAAAAGUUAUAACUGGAACAUGCGAAUAUAAUAAAUGAUGCCAUGGCAUUACUCUCCGUAUCCACCGAUUCUGCAUCCACAGAUUCAACCAACUUCAGAUCAAAAAUAUUUUGGGGGAAAAUAAAAAUAAUACAACAAUAAAGAUGAUACAGAUGAAAACAAUAUAGUAUAACAACUAUGUACAUUGUCUUAGGUAUUAUAAGUAAUCUAGAUAUUAUUUUAAUUUUAAUGUUUUUUAAAAUUUUACUUUUUUUUUUUUGAGACAAGGACUCACUCUGUCACCCAGGCUGGAGUGUGCAGUGGGGCAAUCUCAGCUCACUACAACUUCCACCUCUGGGGCUCAAGUGAUCCUCCUACCUCAGCCUCCUGGGUAGCUGGGACUACAGGUACACACCACCACACCUGGCUAAUUUUUGUAUUUUUUGUAGAGACGAGGUUUCACCAUGUUGCCUACACUGGUCUUGAACUCCUGAGCUCAAGCAAUCUGCCUGCCUUGGCCUCCCAAAGUCCUGGGAUUACAGGCGUGAGCUGCUGCGCCUGGCCUAGAGAUGAUUUAAAGCAUACAGCAGGGGUAGAAAGGGUAGGAGGAAGUGGGUAGACAGAGAUUUGUUAAAGGAUAUAAAAUUACAGCUAGAUAAGUGGGCUAAGUUCUAGUGGUCUAUAGCAUUUUAGGAUGACUGUAUUACAUCAUUUCAAAUAGCUAGAAAGAGAAUAUUGAAUGUUCCCAACAAAAAGAAAUGAUAAAUGUUCCAGAUAAAUAUGCUAAUUACCCUGAUCUCAUCACUAUACAUUAUAUGUAUCAAAACAUCACUAUGCACCCUAUAAAAGUGUACUUGUUUAUAUCAAUUAAGAAAAUAAAAGAAAAAAAUGUAAAUAAGGCAUAGAGAAAGAUAUGGAAAUACUAUGGCACUUUAUAUACAGGACUUGAGCAUUCGUGUAUUUUGGUAUCCACAGGAGGUCCUGGAACUAAUCCUCCAUGGAUACCAAGGGAUGAUAGUAUUGUUAAUUUUCUUAGCUGUGACAAUGGUAAUGUGGUUAUAAAUGAAAACUUCCUGGCUGGAUGUGGUGGUACAUGUCUGUGAUCCCAGCACUUUGGGAGGCUGAGGUGGGCAGAUUGCUUGAACCCAGAAGUUCGAGACCAGCCUGGGCAGCAGGGUGAAACUCUGUCUUUACAAAAAAAAAAAAAAAAAUAGCCAGGUGUUGGGGUGUGUGCCUGUAGUCCCAGCUACUUGGUAGGCUGAGGUAGGAGGAUUGAGGUGGAGGCUUCAAUGAGCUGUGAUUGCACCACUGCACCCCAGCCUUGGUGACAGAGCAAAGGAAAAAUAAAACUUAAAUUUUUUUCCAACAUACAUACCGAAGUAUUUAGAGAUGAAGUAUUUAUUUUGUCUGCAACUUACUUUCCAAAGUUGGCAACAAAAAAAAGUGUGUGCAUAAAAAAAAUAGAUACAUGGAGAAAGAGAGAGCAUGUAAACGAACAUGGCAAGAUGUUAACAAUUGGUGAAUCUCUAGGUUAUGUGGGUGCUCACUGCACUAUUCUUUUAAAUUUAUUUUUAUUUUUGUUGUUUUUCAGAGACAGGGUCUUGCUCUAUCACCCAGGCUAGAGUGUAGUGGCACCAAGAUAGCUCCCUGCAGCCUCAAACUCCUGGGCUCAAGUGACGCUCCCUUCUCAGCCUCCCAAGUAGCUGGGACUACACAGGUGUGCUCCACCACACCUGGUUAAUUAAAAAAAUUUUUUGUAGACACAGGGUCUCACUUUGUUGUCCAAGCUGGUCUUGAACUUCUGGAUUUUGGCGAUCCUCCUGCCUUGACUUCACAAAGUGCUCGGAUUACAGGUGUGAGCCACUGCACUUGCCAUUGCAUUACUUUUUAACUUUAUUAAAAUAAAGAGUUGGGGCCGGGGCCAGGUGCGGUGGCUCACUCCUGUAAUCCCAGCACUUUGGGAGGCCUUGGCGGGCGGAUCACUUGAGGUCAGGAGUUCAUAACCAGCCUGGCCAACAUGGUGAAACCCCAUCCCUACUAAAAAUACAAAAAUUAGCAGGGCUUGGUGGCACACGCCUGUAAUCCCAGUACUCAGGAGGCCGAGUACUGUAAUCCCAGUACUCAGGAGGCCGAGUACUGUAAUCCCAGUACUCAGGAGGCUGAUUCGCUUGAAUCCAGGAGGCGAAGGUUGCAGUGAGCCGAGAUCGCGUCACUGCACUCCCACCUGGAGGACAGAGUGAGACUCUGCUUAAAAAAAAAAAAUUAGCCAGGCGUGGUGGUGUAAGCCUGUGGCCCCAGCACGUGCCAUGACACCUGGUUGAUUUCUAAAGAUUUUGUCGAGGCAGGGUCUCUGUUGCCCAGGCUGGUCUCGAACUCCUGGCCUCAGGCCAUCCUCCUAACUAGUUCUCCCCAAGUGCUGGGAUCACAGGUGUGAGCCACUGCACCUGGCCCUGUUCAGAUUUUCUAUUUUUCCUGGGACAAUUUUGGUCAUUUGUAUCUUUCUAGGAAUUUUUUUGUUGUUGUUUUGAGACAGAGUCUCACUCUGUCACCCAAGCUGGAGUGCAAUGGCAUGAUCUCAGCUCACUGCAACCUCUGCCUCCUGGGUUCAAGUGAUUUUCCUGCCUCAGCCUCGUGAAUAGCUGGGAUUACAGGUGUGAGCCACCACGCCUGGCUAAUUUUUGUGUUUUUAGUAGAGACAGGGUUUCACCACUUUGGCCAGGUUGGUCUCGAACUUCUGACCUCAGGUGAUCUGCCUGCCUCGGCCUCCCAAAGUGCCGCGAUUACAGGCGUGAGCCACCACACCCAGCCAAGAUGUCGCAUCUUUUUAAAUGUUGGCAUUUGCAGCUAUAAAUUUCCCUCAGAGCAGUUUUUGCCGCAUUCCUUAAGUUCUGGUAUGUUGUUUUCAUCCAUCUCUAUUUCCUAAUUUUUCUCGUGAUUUCUCCUUUGACCCUUUGGCUGUUAAAAAGUGUGUUCAAUUUCUAUGUAUGUGUGAAUUUUCAUUUUCCUUCUGGUAUGGAUUUCUGGUUUUAUUCCAUUGUGAUUGGAGAAGGUGGUUUGCAGGAUUCCGAUCUCUAAUUUACUGAGACUUGCUUUGUGCACUAACGUGUGGUCUGUCCUGGAGAACGUUCCCUGUGCACUUAGAAACGUGUGUUCUGCUGCUAUUGGGUGGAGCACUGUUAAGUCUGGUCAGCCUUUUGGUUUUUAUGUAAUACUUGGCACAUUCACAAGAAAAUGUGUGAAACAGAAAGUACGACAAAGUGAAACCCACGAAGCCACCACUGACCCUGAGGUUCAAAACCUCCAGCAUCUCUGCUCUUCCCUAAGCACAGCUCCGUCCCCUCCCCACGGGUGAGCACUGUGUUGUACUGACUCCCUGCCCUCCCUGAUGACUUUAGCACCUGGGUAUGAAUUCCACACAUAUUUGGUUUUGAGCUUUAUAAAAAUGGCAUCAUACUGUAUGAACUGUCUUGCUUUUUCAUCCCACGUUGUUUCUGAGAGGUGUUUGUGAUGGAGCACAGGGCCAC